AUUCAGAUGACGAGUCCUAAAUAGGACGAAAUGCACGUCAAACUGAAU
rnacentral:hammerhead_ribozyme from 1 species